rnacentral:sRNA from 1 species
GGCAUCCGCUGGACUCCAAUCCAGUACUUCAACAACAAGGUCGUCUGUGACCUCAUCGAAAACAAGCUGAGCCCCCCAGGCAUCAUGAGCGUCUUGGACGACGUGUGUGCCACCAUGCACGCCACGGGCGGGGGAGCAGACCAGACACUGCUGCAGAAGCUGCAGGCGGCCGUGGGGACCCACGAGCAUUUCAACAGCUGGAGCGCCGGCUUUGUCAUCCACCACUACGCUGGCAAGGUGCGCCCCCUGCCCCUACCCUACCCUGUGCCUCCUCGCAGACCCCCAGGGCCCCAAGCUGUAGCCCCCACCCUCCAGCACCCAGGCUGGAAAGAGCCUGCUAGGACCCUCAUCCAGGGCUGUAGAAUUCCACUGUCCCCCUGCCUCAAUCCACCCCCUACUAACCAGAACUACAGACCCUUCCGGCUGACCCCCCAGGAACUCGCUAAGCCCCAAAUUUGCCUGGACAC